CAGAGAAUAGUUUAUUAAAAUACUGGUUUUGGAUAUCAGAGAUGAGAGAUCUUUUCUGA
rnacentral:tRNA from 1 species